UCAGAAUAAACUUUGUUAAAUAAGGAAUUUAAAAACAGAUGGGAAAAGACAGUAGCAUGACCUAUGUCAUCAAUCUGAGAACUCUGCCAAAGUUCCCCAGUGUUACACACAAACAACAACAUCCCUUCACAUGUAUGUAAUAAAACCUCUAAGAAGCUGUUCACCCUCCUAUGAAAAUGAUAAACCACAGCAGUGAGGUUGGCUAAAUUGCCCAAAGACACUUGUAGAAUUAGUG